rnacentral:rRNA from 1 species
GAUGAACGCUGGCGGCGUGCCUAAUACAUGCAAGUCGAGCGAACAGAUGAGGAGCUUGCUCCUCUGACGUUAGCGGCGGACGGGUGAGUAACACGUGGAUAACCUACCUAUAAGACUGGGAUAACUUCGGGAAACCGGAGCUAAUACCGGAUAAUAUAUUGAACCGCAUGGUUCAAUAGUGAAAGACGGUUUUGCUGUCACUUAUAGAUGGAUCCGCGCCGCAUUAGCUAGUUGGUAAGGUAACGGCUUACCAAGGCAACGAUGCGUAGCCGACCUGAGAGGGUGAUCGGCCACACUGGAACUGAGACACGGUCCAGACUCCUACGGGAGGCAGCAGUAGGGAAUCUUGGGCAAUGGGCGAAAGCCUGACGGAGCAACGCCGCGUGAGUGAUGAAGGUCUUCGGGUCGUAAAGCUCUGUUGUUAGGAAAGAACAAAUGUGUAAGUAAAUAUGCACGUCUUGACGGUACCUAAUCAGAAAGCAACGGCUAACUACGUG